UGUCUUGUAGUUGAGGUGGAUUAACAACGUUAAAUUGCAAAUUUAGAGGGGCAUAUUGUGUCAAGACA
rnacentral:tRNA from 1 species